AUUAAAGUUUACAGAACUAUAUUUAGAGGAAGCUAACUGGUCCAUUAAUGGUUUUCAAAUUUAUCUAAAAAGAUAAUCCGAUAAUGAAAACAUUAUCUUCGAUAAU